CGUGUGCGUUUGGGAGCAACAAGUUAGCUGAGACUUCCAACUUGAAAUCAGAUAACGAGAAUGAAGUACAUGUUGACGGACUCAAAGAUUAUGUUCAUCACGGCAUUGGCAAUGACUGACGUGACGGAUAUUAUGGUGGUGGCGGCUGUGGCCGUCGUGGUGGUGGUUAUAAACGUAAAGGAUGCCGUUAUGGUUGCUGCAAAAAGUACAAUUACGUCUGCAAAAGGUGUUUUUCCUAUGCAGGUGAGGCCAUGGACAAAGUCACUGAAGCCCAGCGACACAACUAAUUAAUUAUGUGUAAUAUUAUAAAAUCUUUGUUAAUUAAGUGGCAAUAGAUGUAUUAAUCUUGCUACUUUAGAUCUUUUGCUUGUAACAAGUAUGAAUAAAGCCAUUCCAGUUCUUAUGGAUGGUUGUCCUUGUUCAUGUAAUGUUUUGUUGUACAAUAUAUCAUAUUGUGAUCAAAUGUUUCCAUAACGUUUAAUUUUCUUCU